rnacentral:rRNA from 1 species
CCCUUCGGGGUACUCGAGUGGCGAACGGGUGAGUACACGUGGGUGAUCUGCCCUGCACUUUGGGAUAAGCCUGGGAAACUGGGUCUAAUACCGAAUACACCCUGCUGGUCGCAUGGCCUGGUGGGGGAAAGCUUUUGCGGUGUGGGAUGGGCCCGCGGCCUAUCAGCUUGUUGGUGAGGUUACGGCUCACCAAGGCGACGACGGGUAGCCGGCCUGAGAGGGUGACCGGCCACACUGGGACUGAGAUACGGCCCAGACUCCUACGGGAGGCAGCAGUGGGGAAUAUUGCACAAUGGGCGCAAGCCUGAUGCAGCGACGCCGCGUGAGGGAUGACGGCCUUCGGGUUGUAAACCUCUUUCGCCAGGGACGAAGCGCAAGUGACGGUACCUGGAGAAGAAGGACCGGCCAACUACGUGCCA